GAAGGGAUGGCUGAGUGGUUUAAAGCGGUGGACUGUAAAUCCAUUUAACUAAUUAAUCGUAGGUUCGAAUCCUACUCCCUUCA
rnacentral:tRNA from 1 species